CACACGUAUUCUUUCUCAGAUUCUUUUCAAUUAUAGUUUAUUACAAGGUAUUGAAUAAAGUUCCCUGUGCUAUACUGUAGGACCUUGUUGUUUAUCUAUUAUGUAUAAAGUAGUUUGUAUCUGUUAUUCCCAAACUCCUAAUUUAUCCCACACCCCACCCUUUCCUCUUUGGUAACCAUAAGCUUAUUUUCUAUGUCUGUGAGUCUGUUUCUGUUUUGUAAAUAAGUUAAUUUGUAUCAUUUUUUAGAUUCCACAUAUAAGUGAUAUCAUAUGGUAUUUGUCUUUCUCUUUCUGUCUUAUUUAGCUUAGUAUGAUAAUCUCUAACUCCAUUCAUGUUGCUGCAAAUGGCAUUCAUUCUUUUUUAUGGCUGAGUAAUAUUCCAUUGUAUAUAUGUACCACAUCUUCUUUAUCCAUUCAUCUGUCAAUGGACAUUUAGGUUGUUUCCAUGUCUUGGCUAUUUUAAACAGUACUGCUAUGAACAUAGGGGUGCACGUAUCUUUUCAAAUUAGAGUUUUCUCUGGAUAUAUAUGCCCAGGAGUGAGAUUGCUGGAUCAUAUGGCAACUCUAUUUUUAGAUUUUUAAGGAAUCUCCAUACUGUUUUACAUAGUGGCUUCACCAAUUUACAUUCCCACCAACAGUGUAGGAAGGUUCCCUUUUCUUCUAAAGUGUGAUCAUUUUAAAUUUUAGUCAUAUAAGUUUCAAAAUUUAAUUCUGGAAGGAUCCUGAGAGGUUAUUAUUCUGGGCUCAGCAGCUCACCAGUAGAACUUUUUGUGAAAAUGUUUGUUCUGCACCAUCUGACAUACGUGGUUGGUGAGCACUUGAAAUGUGACAAGUGUGACCAAGGAAUUGAAUUUUAAAUUAUAUCGAAUUUUAAUUAUUAAAAGUUAGAUUUAAAUAGCCAUAUGUGACUAGUGGCUACUGUACUGAACAACUCAGUUCUACCUUUACACAGACUUAGUUAAGUCUCAACUAAUAAUACAAUUUUUUUUCUUUUGUAAGUGACUUUUUUUUCCAUGAAAAGUAAGACUAGAAUUAUUGAGUAAUGUGGAAAUAGAUAUAGAUUCCUCUGCCUUAGACUACCUACUUUAUCAAAUGGAAUAAUUUAAAGGAGAAAAUCAGCCCUGCCUUUUGACUACUAAGUGAUCCUAGGCAAUGGCAUUUCUGUAUUAUUGACACGGAGGGAGCCUUCCUUUAGGGACCUUCCAUAGCUUGUAUUUGGUAGAGAUGUAGAGUUCACAGCACAUUUUCUCAAUUUUUUUUUUUUCAGAAAGAAUCCCUUGUAUUAUUAUCAUUCUCAUGUUAGGGGUGGAGAGGCUGAGCUACAGUGACCUGCCAGUUUUAUCAGCAUGAGUGUGAGGAGAGAGGAGGAGGAGGUCUGGUUCAGUUCACACAAAAUGUUUCCUAGGGACUCAUUGCUUGUGGCAGGUACUGUGUUAUGUGCAGAAGAUUCAGAGAGGAAUAAAAUAAAGCUCUCCUCUCUUGGAUAUUUUGGGUGCUCUCCCCUGAGGGAGGGAGAAGAGUGAGGCUGGCUGUGGAUGGUCACAUCACCUCUCUAGGAGACUACUUACUAACCGUUCUCUCCAUCUGGGUGUCAGCAGCCCACCGCCCUUCUUCUAAGCCUGUUGGGCACUCUGCCAUUCCUUGUCCCACUGACCUGCACUUUCUCUUAAGGCUUGUCUGCAUCUCACCAUAUCUUCAAAACUCACCCCUUUUAAAAUAAAUCCUCCUUCUUGAAUUAUCUGGUAAAUGUCAUCUGGUUCUGGUUGGGACAUAGAGUGAUACAUCCCCUCCUUCUAAUUGAACUGUUUCUGGGGGUAUAUCUCCUCUCUUCUUGGGUUGGGUGGAACAUCACAAAAGAUACACUGAGGAUAGCAGCACCAAGGUCUCUGUUCUUGAACACUGGCUGACACAUGGAGUGUGAUACUGUAGAUUCCAGCACUCUAGAUGCCCAGCAUGCUGGGAGCCUUAACCCCAUCACAGAAGAUGCCUCUGUGUUGAGCUGUGGUUUAAAUUGAGGCAGCAUCCCUUGGCAAAUUAUUCCAUUAUGGUAUAUCUAACAGAAGAAAUAUUUAAAUUUAUCAAUGAUCUGAUAACAAAUUCUGUUAACAGGUAUAACUUUAUUUAUUGACCAACCAUAGAAGGAUUUCAUUUAUAGAGUGGGUGGUCAAUAAAUGAUUUUGUUGAUGACUAAGUUUGGAUUUAUUCUUAAAUUAUGAUGCAUUGUAAAUACAUACCAGAAAUGAACAAAUAUAUUAAUUAAGAGGUCAAUAUAUUAACAUUAUUUAAUAUAUCUGAAUCACAUGAUUACAUUUUAACACAGAUCUAUUAAUCUUUACUUAGAUUAUCAUCAGGAAACAAUUUUAGUCUUUUAAAUAAUGUAAUUGAAGUAGCUGCCUAUUUUAUACUAAAUGAUUAUUAGAGUAUGAUGUGUCAUACACUGUGGUAGGUACUAGGAUUAAAGUGGUAAACAGCUAGACACUGUUUGCAUUUGGGGAGUGUAUAUUUUAUUGGGUAAGAUGUAUGCCAAAGGAAUAAUUUGCAAGUAAUUUAUGUAUUGCAAUUGUUGCAUAGUUAUAUGGUUUUUGUUUCCUUUUCCGCUUCCUCAUUCUACAACCCCUCCCCCACGCGACCUGGAGCCUGACUCAUAUUGAGACCAAGAAAACGGGAUAUUUUUGGAAAUUUGACUCAAAGAGGAGACAGAUAUUCUUUAGCGUAAUAAAGUGCAGGAGAUACACUAAAAGUGAUGAAAAUCUCUGGAAUAAUUUGGCAAUGAAACGUAGAGGAGCUGAACAAGAAGAGAUCCAGUGACAGAGUCUCGGUGUCUGCUUGAAGGAGUUGAGAGUGAGGAGAAAAGAGGCAUAAAGAGAAUCGUAGAGGCUGUGGAAGGAAGGAGAUACUUUUAUGCUUACAUCUUGGUUGGCCAUAUGGGAAUGCCAUGAAUCUAGAGGAGCUGGGUGUGGAACCAGCUUUCAAAACAGUCCUCAAUGAUUCUAGCCCCCUGGUAUUCACGUUCUUUUGUAGUCUCCUCCCACAUUGGAAAAGGCUGACUUGUAUAACCAAUAGGAUAUUGUAGAAUGAUUGUGUCUUUGGAGUCGAUGUUAUAAAAGAUAUGUGGCUUCUGUCCUGUUCUCUUGGACCACUCAUUCUGGGAGAAGCCAGCUGCUGUGUUGUGAGGACUCUCAAGCAGCUCUAUGGAGAGGUCAAUAAGUGAGGCCAUGUGAGUGAGAAAUCCUGGAGAUGGAUCUUCUAGCCUCAGUCAGGUUUUCAGAUGACUACAGCCUGGGCUCAUAUCUUGCCUGCAAAAUCAUGAGACCCUGAGCCAGAACCACCUGCUGAGCUUCUUCUGAAUUCCUGACCCAAAGAAACUCCACGUUGUUGCAGUCCCAGCGAGAGGCCCAUGUGGUGAGGAACUGAGGCUUCUUGCCAACAGAUCUCUGCUUGAGCUUGGAAGCAGAUCCUCCAGACCCAGUCAAGCCUCAGACAACUGCAGCCCCAGCUGACACUGACUACCGUCUUGCGAGAGACCAAGAGCCAGAACCACUGAGCUAAGCUGCUCUUGAAUUUUUGACUGACCUAAACUGUGAGAUAACAAGUAUCAAUACUUCUCCUUUAAGCCACUAAGUUUGGGUUAAUUUGUUUUGCAGCAAUCAGUCACUAAUACACAUAGUCAUUAUUUUGAAGAUCUGGGAAGUGAGGGUUAAAAUCUAAACUAAGUUAGGACUAGUGGUCGGGGUUGAGAAUUUGAGGUGGGUUUGGGAGUGAGAAGGAAGUUUAAGCACUGAUAUCCUAAGCCCGUUUGUACUUCGUUAUCUAUUGGAGGGCUCUAAGCCGGGAACUCCUAACUGGUGUGUUGUGAAUUGGGUAUAUAGAGAUAUUGACUCUUCUCAGUCCUUUGGUAGUUCGGUGAGGUCUGGGGAGGCUGGAUUCUUGGGGCUGGUCACCUCUGGUCACGAGAAGGCUUCUUCCUUUAUGUUUGUGUUUCAUACAAUAUUAUUAUUUUCUAGAUGUGCCAUCAUGUGAAACAGUUGGACAGCACUGACAUUUAUAAGACCAGUAUAUAUUUGCUUUGGGUACAGAGAUAUGAGACCAAUAACUUCAUAUAAAACAUGAAUUGUGAAAGUUGGACUAAGUUAAGAUCAGAGUCUUAUGGUCCCCUAAGGUCUAUAAAUGGGGAUUCAAAGAUCCCAUAAACAACAUGAAAUUUUGUGUGUGUGUCUGCUGCUGUGCUGUCAUGUGUGUUUAUAUAUUUCUCAGAGGACAAGUUUUAUUCCUUUUAGCAGAUAAGUCCAUAAGCCAAAAGAGAUUAAGGGCCACCAGAGUACAUGCUUAAUAAGGCCCUUUCCAGCUCUUAAAUUUCUGGAAUUCUAGAUCUAAUGGAAUUGGGCUAUAGAAGAUCACUUUCUCAUUCAAGGUCAGACAGAGCAACUAUACAAUUCUAGGGUAAACACUUUGGGACCAAUUUUGAGGCUUGUUAUGUUUUCUCAUAGUGUAGGGUUAAGAGUAUGAGCUCUGGAUCCACACUGCAUGGAUUUGACUGAGUGACCUUUUGGAAGUGACUUAAUCUUCCUGUGCCUCAGUUUCCUCAAUUAUACUAGCAAUUCUAUCCAUUACACAGGAUUGAUGUGAUAUUACAUGAGCUAUCCCAUGUAGGGUGCUUAGAACUGUGCCUGCCUGGCACGUAUUCAGUGCUCAAUAAUGUUUGUCAUGAUUAGUAUUAUUGCUUCUGGCCCCUGGAUCCAAACUUCCUCCUAACAGCUUGAGUGCUUGAAAUCAGAUUGGAUUAAGUCUUCCUGCCUCCACAGCAGGACUGGGUUAUUGUGGCCCAAGGCUGAGACUCUGUUGUCCCUUUCCCUUCUUUUGCUUGAGGAGGUAUCUCCCUAGAAGAUAGAUAAAUCUUUGGUAGUUAUUUGUUCAUUUUACCCACACUUGGCAAGAACAGGCAGAGGCUGUUGUUGACCUCUAUAGGUCUCAAAUUCUUCUUUGUAAAAUGAAAGGGUUGGACUACAUGACUUCUAAGGUCUCUUUCAGUUAUAGUAAUCUGUGAAUUUAUGAAUAAUAGAGAGAAUGCACCGGUAAGUGACAUUAGCAGUAAAGUGGAGUAAGGGGUAACCAGUACAAUUGCAUUUUCGAGUUUAAAAAAAUGCUCUGGACAUUUCGAUGAAAACUUGGCUUCCAACGCUAUGUAAGAAUAUAUCACAUAUGAAACAAAUUUAGUUUCUGGAAAAAUGAGAAUUAUCUUAGUAAUUAUGUUAUUAAAACUUUAUUAGAUUUUGAUACAAAAUUCCAUGUUCUGUGUCAUGAGGAUUAUCUAUUUAUACUUAU